UACGUAGGGUGCAAGCGUUAAUCGGAAUUACUGGGCGUAAAGCGUGCGCAGGCGGUUAUGUAAGACAGAUGUGAAAUGCCCGGGCUUAACCUGGGAACUGCAUUUGUGACUGCAUGGCUAGAGUUUGGCAGAGGGGGGUAGAAUUCCACGUGUAGCAGUGAAAUGCGUAGAGAUGUGGAGGAACACCGAUGGCGAAGGCAGCCUCCUGGGCCAAUACUGACGCUCAUGCACGAAAGCGUGGGGAGCAAACAGG
rnacentral:rRNA from 1 species